GACGACUCAGGUGGCUGGUGGCACUGGUGUGGAACUGGGUGUUUGCCACGUUCCCAUCAGAUUCUGUAACACAAUGACCUUUGGACUGCUGGACAAGCCUGGCACUGGCCAGGUGUCAGUGCCCAGCGCUGCCCGGGUGUCACUGUCAGUGCCAGCACUGCCCGGGUGUCACUGUCGGUGCCAGCGCUGCCCGGGUGUCACUGUCAGUGCCAGCUCUGCCCAGGUGUCACUGUCAGUGCCAGCGCUGCCCGGGUGUCAGUGCCCAGCACUGCCCGGGUGUCACUGUCAGUGCCCAGCGCUGCCCGGGUGUCACUGUCAGUGCCAGCGCUGCCCGGGUGUCACUGUCAGUGCCAGCACUGCCCGGGUGUCACUGUCAGUGCCCAGCCCUGCCCGGGUGUCACUGUCAGUGCCCAGCUCUGCCCGGGUGUCACUGUCAGUGCCAGCACUGCCCGGGUGUCACUGUCGGUGCCAGCACUGCCCGGGUGUCACUGUCAGUGCCAGCUCUGCCCAGGUGUCACUGUCAGUGCCAGCUCUGCCCGGGUGUCACUGUCAGUGCCCAGCACUGCCUGGGUGUCACUGUCAGUGCCAGCGCUGCCCGGGUGUCACUGUCAGUGCCCAGCGCUGCCCGGGUGUCACUGUCGGUGCCCAGCUCUGCCCCGGGUGUCACUGUCAGUGCCCAGCUCUGCCCGGGUGUCACUGUCAGUGCCAGCCCUGCCCGGGUGUCACUGUCAGUGCC